rnacentral:rRNA from 1 species
UGCAAGUCGAACGGAAACAUGUCUAGCUUGCUAGAUGAUGUCGAGUGGCGGACGGGUGAGUAAUACUUAGGAACAUGCCUUUGGGUGGGGGAUAACUAUUGGAAACGAUAGCUAAUACCGCAUAACGUCUACGGACCAAAGGGGGGAGCUUGCUCCUCUCGCCCAAAGAGUGGCCUAAGCGAGAUUAGCUUGUUGGUGGGGUAAAGGCUCACCAAGGCGACGAUCUCUAGCUGUUCUGAGAGGAAGAUCAGCCACACUGGGACUGAGACACGGCCCAGACUCCUACGGGAGGCAGCAGUGGGGAAUAUUGCACAAUGGAGGAAACUCUGAUGCAGCCAUGCCGCGUGUGUGAAGAAGGCCUUCGGGUUGUAAAGCACUUUCAGUUGUGAGGAAAGCUUGUUGGUUAAUACCCAACAGGUAUGACGUUAGCAACAGAAGAAGGACCGGCUAACUCCGUGCCAGCAGCCGCGGUAAUACGGAGGGUCCGAGCGUUAAUCGGAAUUACUGGGCGUAAAGCGCACGCAGGCGGUUUGUUAAGCUAGAUGUGAAAGCCCCGGGCUCAACCUGGGAAUAGCAUUUAGAACUGGCAGACUAGAGUCUUGGAGAGGGGAGUGGAAUUUCUGGUGUAGCGGUGAAAUGCGUAGAUAUCAGAAGGAACAUCAGUGGCGAAGGCGACUCCCUGGCCAAAGACUGACGCUCAUGUGCGAAAGUGUGGGUAGCGAACAGGAUUAGAUACCCUGGUAGUCCACACCGUAAACGCUGUCUACUAGCUGUUUGUGGAUUUAAUCCGUGGGUAGCGAAGCUAACGCGAUAAGUANACCGCCUGGGGAGUACGGCCGCAAGGUUAAAACUCAAAUGAAUUGACGGGGGCCCGCACAAGCGGUGGAGCAUGUGGUUUAAUUCGAUGCAACGCGAAGAACCUUACCUACUCUUGACAUACUAGAAACUUUUCAGAGAUGAUU